AGCCGCUAAUUGUCUGUGAUUGAGUUGCAGGCUGGGAGGGAGAGACCUGGGACGCGCGAGCGUCUGUCAGCCAAUCAUCCGCUAAUCAGAGAGCUCAAAUUAAAAGAGUGCGUGUUUGGAGUCGAGGACGGGAUGAUGGCGCAGAGCCGGAGUGAUUGUGAACUUCACCAGUGCGCACAAUGUUUACUGGAAAAGGAGAGAGAAAUCUGAUGUUUUACACGCCAGAAAAACAAACCGAGAAAACGUGAAGGAAGCGACUGGUCAAGCACAGCUCUUCCUGAAGCUGUCACAGAUGGGACGGGCCCCGGGCCCCUUCAUCCCCCGUGGAGCCAAGCCCCCUGCCCGCUUUUUGAUUUAAUUACAGGGAAGAGGGCGCAUCAAUUUCAUUGGCGGUGCAGAGAGAUGACAGCACACAAAUUGAAAGAAAAGGAGGAGGAGGAGGCCAGCGCUCAUCAUUAACACUGAACACAAUCCUGUGUGCCAUGUAACAAGAUUAGAAACAUUAUUAUCAUUCUCCCAUACACAGACAGACA